AUCCAACUGACGAGUCCCAACUAGGGCGAAACACGCGUCAAACUGGAU
rfam:Schistosoma curassoni strain Dakar, Senegal genome assembly, scaffold: SCTD_scaffold0013770